ensembl:lncRNA
CUGAUUGGUUCCUGGGCACCAGGUUGGAACUCUGGUGGUUGGUAGGGCAACCUUCUUCAGUUUGUAGAAAGCAGUGGAAGGAGGAACUCCCUCUGUGCUGUCUUCUCCACAAUCUCAGCUCUCAGGCUUGUUGUAUCUAGACCGAUUUUAAAUCAAGCAGGUUCCCUUCAGACCAGUCAUCUCAGGGGAGGCAGCUGAGGCGGGGAGUGAGCUGUUAGUGGGGUGCAGCCCCAUAGGGGCUGGCCCUGCCAGCGUGUCUGUGUUUGAAAGAGUCAGCCGCAGGUGAGGUCUGCGUAGGCUGUCUGAGGAUCUGUCCUUCAGCUCUGACAUUAAUGAGGCGGUGGCAAGCAAAGGUGUGGGCCAAGACAGAAGGAACAUGUCCAACACCAGCGCCAGACCCAUUUGGGGCCCGAGCUGGCUGUGUGGGGUGGUGUCUGGCAGCUGCGAUGACAUCUAUGAGGCAGUGUCAAGCGUAAGUGCAGACCAAGGCAGAGAGGAGCAGAGGCUGGGCAGCGGGAUCAUUGUGCUCCCCAAUGUGAGAUCCAAGCAGAGCCAGCACAGGGUGCAUGGGGCAGAACCGAUCGAGGGGGAGGUGGUGGAAGCCCCAUACCCUACUGCCGUGGAGCCUGCCUGGUGGGAUGUGGGAGCUGGUGACAGCCAGGACCUGCAGCACAUGAGCGACCAGGAGAUGCCCAAAGAUAUUGCUUCUGACAGUCCAAGGGCAAGCACACUCUUCCUGAGAAAGUAUCAAAUGCAUGGUGAGACAAUAUUGUUUCUGCCUUCAAGGAAAACCUAAAACUUUUCUGUCUUGUGUAUUACAGAAAGUAUUUAGAGAAACUCAGAUAUUAGUUAAAAAGUUCAACUUUUCGUAGCUUUCCUUGUCUUAUUUUCAUAUGUGAUAUAAUUUCCUUUAGUUGUCACUGUUUAUGGAAACAUACAGACUUUGUGUUCACACAUUUGGUGAUGUUUUUACCCACACAAUUAAUUGGCCACAUGAUUUAGUGUCAUAGUCACGGAUUUAUGCCUUUUUCUUCAUAUGUCUUUGCCAUUUUUCCCGUGCUCUAAAGAGUACAUUUUAAUAACGAGUGAUAGGAUUUAGGCCACAGCUUGAAUUUCACUCAAGCAAAUCAAAAGAAUCCAUUGUUCUAGAUUGGAUCUGUGAUGUUGGCUCCUUGUUCACAGUGCUCUAACUUCUGUCACAUCCAAGUCGAUGCUAGAACUUUUUCAUUGGAAUGUAAUAGAAAUGUAACAUGCCCUGUGCUGUUUUCCAUAUUAGCCUUAGUGUGUGAAACUAGUGUAACAUUUCCAUAUCCUGCCUGUUUUAGGAUGAGAAUUAGAAUUGUAGGAUUUUUCUGUACUGUUGCUUGUGUUUCAUAAUGUUCUGUUAUCUUACUUUAUUAAAAAAAAGCCAUACACCAUGUUUUUCAGUUAAUUUUAACAACAAGAAUACAAGAACUGGGGGUUCUAGAAUAACAUCUGAAGUAAUGCAGCACAAUAAAAAAGGGGUUGUUCACCUGCAUUUUCAUAGUUUUGUGUGGAAUUUGUCU